CAGGACCCCAAUUCGCUCCCAACACACACACAGCUCACAAAUGAAAACUGGGAAGGAGAACGUGGAGAAAAGGGAGGCAUAUAGAUCCCACAGAAAGUGAGGAAUUUGCUGCUCCACCUAGAGGAAACAGUCUGAUUUCUUCUGAGAAGAGGCCUGUUUGUCAAUGUUUUAAAUGCAGAUUUCAGCUACAGAAGCUACACCAGUGACAACUAUGAAUAUGGAUAUGACAACAAGCUUGGAAUUACAAGGUUGACAUCAAUGGCUGUAUUAAUAUGAGACAAGAUGGAAACGUAGAUGGCAUGCAAGAGGGUAACCUGCUACUUCUUUCACAUGAUUUUGAAUUGGUCAGAGCUCCACAAAAUCUGCUCCAACUGAUGCCAAUGGCAGAAUGCCUCUUGAUGCUCAUGGGAGCUGCACUGGACCAGCCUUGUAUCCUUUCCACACGCUUACUGUUUUUCAGGUUUCCCUGGCCAAAAAUGCUGCAUCACUCUGCACAUCUUAAUUCUGUUAAUAAAAAAAAGAUUACAGGACCUGUUCUCACAAGAACUAAGCUACUCUACAUUCAAAUUAAAAGCACCUUACAGUCAGCUGUACCGGGUUCUUCACUUGUCCAACCCAUGGAAAUGAAGAAGUUGACAUAUGUUGCAGAAAUAUUCCAAACAUUGUAAUUUUCCCAUCCUCACAAUCUUAUAUUGCAGUAAACCAGCUUUUUUGUUGGAUUUUGCAAAUAAAACAGCACCUGGCACAGUAAAUAAAACA
rnacentral:lncRNA from 1 species